ensembl:snRNA RNU2-35P RNA, U2 small nuclear 35, pseudogene
AUCGCUUCUUAGCCUUUUGGCUAAGAUCAAGUGUAGUAUCUAUUCCUAUCAGUUUAAGUGCCUUAAUUUCUCUUCCACUUUUUGGACAGGUAGUUUUGCUGGAUAUAGAAUUCUUAUUAGCUUUUGUCUUUCAGCACUUUGA